UACCCCACUAUGCUUAGUUGUAAACACGACACCUACUAACAACAGUGUCCGCCAGAAUAUUACGAGCGAAAAGCUUAAAACUCAAAGGACUUGGCGGUGCUCCAUAUCAACUUAGAGGAGCCUGUCCUAUAAUCGAUACUCCACGUUAAACCUUACCAUCUUUUGCCCCCAGCUUAUAUACCGCCGUCGCAAACUCACCCCACAAGGGCCCAACAGUAAGUACAAUAGCCCCCCCCAAAAACGUCAGGUCAAGGUGUAGCUAAUAAGAUGGCAGCGAUGGGCUACAUUUUUUAACAUAAAAUACUACGACAUGGAACUAUGAAAUAACCCCUGAAGGCGGAUUUAACAGUAAACAAGGCAAGAAAGCCUUUCUUAAACUCGCUCUGGAGCACGCACACA
rnacentral:rRNA from 1 species